CCUACGGGUGGCUGCAGUGAGGAAUAUUGGUCAAUGGCCGCGAGCCUGAACCAGCCAAGUCGCGUGAAGGAUGACUGCCCUACGGGUUGUAAACUUCUUUUAUCAAGGAAUAAAGUGAGGCACGUGUGCCUUUUUGUAUGUACUUUAUGAAUAAGGAUCGGCUAACUCCGUGCCAGCAGCCGCGGUAAUACGGAGGAUCCGAGCGUUAUCCGGAUUUAUUGGGUUUAAAGGGAGCGUAGAUGGGUUGUUAAGUCAGUUGUGAAAGUUUGCGGCUCAACCGUAAAAUUGCAAUUGAUACUGGAAGUCUUGAGUACAGGUGAGGUAGGCGGAAUGCGUGGUGUAGCGGUGAAAUGCUUAGAUAUCACGAAGAACUCCGAUUGCGAAGGCAGCUUACUAAACUGCCACUGACAUUGAUGCACGAAAGUGUGGGUAUCAAACAGGAUUAGAUACCCCAGUAGUC
rnacentral:rRNA from 1 species